rnacentral:lncRNA from 1 species
CCCAACUGAUUCAAAUUCUAUUUCCAAAAUGAGCUAGGCUCCUGUACUUUCGAAAAUAUGGAGGGCUUUAUGUUUAUAAGUUAUUUUCAAUGAUAGAAUAUUUAAUUCGGCGGUCGGUUUCGUUAGAGAUGAUCUACAGUAUUUAAACUCUCUAUAAAUCAAAUUUUAUAAGUUUUUAACUUUUUUUGCCUAGUGAAUAGUGAACGAGUGGUUGCAAAAUGAACGGCCGAAAUUAAAAAUUUUAUAAAAUAUAUUAAAAAAUUUAAAAUUUAAAUAAAAAAUAUUGAUCUUAGUUUUGAUGUUAAAUAGAAUUUUCUAUUAAAAUUUCACAUAAUUUCAAUUGUUUUAUACCAUCGAAUUUGCAAACGCGUCCCAUUAGCCAAUAAAAUAGUUAUUUUUGAGACCUUUUGAUCACUAAGUACAUAAUGAUGUUAAAAAGUUAUGAAAUUUGAUUUUCAAAUGCUUCUAAUAGUACAGAUUAUGCCUAACGAAAUUGGUCGAUGUCGAAAAUGUCACACCAUCGAAAAUAACCUAUAAGUAUAAAAGCUUCCAUACUUUCGAAAGUACAAGGAAUGUACUCUUCCAAAAUACCAUUUUAGAUCUUUUUUCUUUUCUUU